rnacentral:antisense_RNA from 1 species
GGGUGCUUGAGGCUAUCUGCCUUAGGCAUAGACGAGGCAGAUAGAGAAAAGCCCCAGUUAACAUUACGCGUCCUGCAAGACGCUUAACAUUAAUCUGAGGCCAUAUCUAUAUGCGACACAUAAAGAUUAGCCUCUUAACAGUAAGAAAUCAACUUACAGGAGGCUGUAAUG